AAUAGCAUACACUGCUUUUGAAUUUCGUGGCCAGGAAAGUUGUUAAAUAUGCAGACUCCAAAGGCAAGGUAACUUCAAUGGCUCUGAUGGGUGUUCCCUUCCAUUUAUAGAAUGCUUGGCAAGUUGCUUGGUGGAAUUUAUGGCAGAACGAACCUGACGGAAGCACCUCAAAAGAUCUCUCCUCGGGCAGUACGGAAACUCAAGCCAACUACAUUAGAGACAGCUCCUGCAUCAUCUUCAAAUCUAGCAAGUCGGACACCAAAAGAGCAGAGCCCUAAAGUCAAUGAGCAUAGAUCACCCAGAAGCCCAGCAUCUGAGCUCCAGAAGAAGCGUCCAAACAGAAUUUCUGUAUUGGAAUCUCAGAUUUCCCAACUUCAGGGAGAUCUGAAGAAGGUGAAAGACGAGCUAAGUUCUUCAGAGUCAUGGAAAACGAGAGCUCAGCAAGACGCAGAGGACUCAAAAAAGCAGCUAUUAGCCAUGUCUUCAAAGCUCAAUGAGUCUCAGAAGCGACUUUUGGAGCUAUCUUCUUCUGAGGAAACCCGUGUCAUUGAGCUCCAAAAGAUCUCUGAAGAUCGUGAUCGGGAAUACAAAUCUGAACUUGAGGCCAUCCAGAAUCAGCACUUGAUUGAAUCAGCUGCAUUAGCCUCGGCUGUGAAUGAGAUUCAGCAGCUAAAAGCCCAGCUUGAAAUGGUAGCUGAAUCUGAGGCUGCACAAACGAAGAAUGUACAAUCAGCCAAUGCAGAGCUACUGAGCGUGAAAGAAAACCUAGCAGAAACACUUUCUCUUGUGGAGGACAUGAAAAACCAGUUGAGGGAUUCCAAAGAAUCGGAAGCUCAGGCCCAAGAGCUUGUUGGUGGGACUUUGUUGCAACUUGAAACUGCCAAAAAAACUGUUGAGACCCUCAGGUUGGAUGGUACUAAAGCCAAGGAAGCUUAUGAAUCCAUAGCUUUGGAGUUGGAUCAAUCGAGGGCAUGUGUGAAAUCACUAGAAGGGUUUGUUUCCAAACUUAAGGCGGACAUCAUUAACAAUGGAAGCAAUAGUUCAAAAAAUCUCGGUGCUGAUUACAAGCUAGAAUGUGAUAUCAAUGGAAAUAUUUGCAAAUCAAUGCGGCUUGAAACAGAGCUUAGUUCUGCUAAGGCUGAGCAAGGACUGUUAAGAACUGCACUAGAAACUGCUGAGAUCAGAUUCCAAGAAGAACAUAUUCGAAACACACUACAGAUCAGAAGCGCUAAUGAAUUGGUGGAGCAGAUUAAGUCUGCAUCGAGUCUGAGAGAGGCUGAACUCGAGGCUGAACUAGGUAAAACAAAAGCUGACAUCGAAGAAUUGAAGGCGAAUUUGAUGGAUAAGGAAACUGAAUUGCAAGGUAUCUCAGAGGAGAAUGAGGGGCUGCAUAUGAAGCUUGAGAAGAGCUUACCGAGCCAGAGAGAAUAUGAACUGGAAAAGGAACUAAAGAAAUCAAAAGACAACAUUGAACAUUUGAAGGCGAAUUUGAUGGAUAAGGAAACGGAAUUGCAAAAUAUAUCAGAGGAAAAUGAGAUGUUGAAGUCGGAAAUGAAGGGAAGAGAAAUGGGGAAAAUGAACGCUGAGGUUGUUGCUGAAAUAGAGGCAGCAAGGGCUGCAGAGCAGGAAGCGAAUAUGAAGCUUGGAUAUAUGACAGAGGAAGCAGAUAAGAAUAAUAGGAGGGCUGUGAGGGUGGCUGAGCAGUUGGAGGCAGUCCAGGCGGCCAGUUGUGAAAUGGAGGCAGAGUUAAGGAGGCUAAAAGUGCAAUCUGACCAGUGGAGGAAGGCUGCAGAGGCAGCUGCAGCCAUGCUUUCAACAGGUAACAAUGGGAAGUUUAUGGAAAGAACAGGAUCAUUGGACAGCAGCUACAAUCCUGCAACGGGGAAGAUUGGUUCCCCUGAUUCUGACGACGUUGUUGAUGAUUUUAUGAAGAAGAAAAAUGGGAAUGUGCUGAGGAAGAUUGGGGUUUUGUGGAAGAAGCCGCAGAAAUAGAAUCAUGAGAAAGAAAACAUUGUGUGCUCAACGGGGAAAAGAAAAGAAGAGAAGCCUAUUUGGAUGAAAAAUGCUUUUACUUUUUAAAGGUGCUGCUGCGUGGCAAAAGCCGGGACAUUUUUUGAGAAGAUGUGUGUGCAUGUUUAGUGGCACUCCUGCAAUGUUCUCAGUGGUAAUUUGCUUAGCUUCGUGGUGAUUACAAAGCUUGGUUGCUCAUAUUAUAAUGCCAGUUUGUCUAUGGUUUGAUCAUUUGUAGAUUCACUGUAGGGUAAAUAAUUAUGAACUCAAGAAAAAAAAAAAAAACUAUGUUACUGUGGAAUUCACUGGUUGGUUGCACUUUAAUGUGGUAUGUGAUUUGGGAUUUAUUUUGGUAAAUCAUGCUUUGAGAGUUGCUUUGGA